CAGAGGGGGAGCUCUAGCCUAAACUAUGCUGUAGCUGCUGUGAUCCUGAUUAGUUUCUUAAUGCAGGUGUUUGGUUCUUUGUGACAAUCAGUGCAUGAAGGGAAGUAGACACGCACCGGGAAAGAAUCCAGAUGCAGUGGUUGUUUAUGUGAUCAAGUAUAACUCAGCAGGUGGGUUGGUGAAUGUCUCGGUGUCCCUGGUGCUCGGUUCUGUCCACAAAGCUGCAGUGGUGUUGAAGCAGGAGUUUCAGCUCUUUUAUA